UAUAGGACAAAAAGAGCCUCACGGUGCUG
rnacentral:piRNA from 1 species